ACAUUUGCAUUUCCUGCAGGAUGGAAGGUACUCUGAAGGGUUCCUGAUUGCAGAGAGCAAAAACAAAAUCGAGCAAACAAGCGAUGAGUUUCUUGCUAGGGCAGGGAUUUGAACUCAUUAAUGGCUUCUUAGAAAUUGCGGGUUUCCACACUUGGUCAGGACGAGCUGGUGGCAGGUGGUGGUUCACAGGCUUAAAGAGAAAAGAGGAGCCUGAAAAGUCGAUGCAAAGGAAUGCUUCGUUUUGGUGCAUAAGAAGGUCAGCACUCAUUCACCAGCCUCACUGAGGUGGAUUAACCUCAGCAGGGCGUGAACAUUGGAAGCUCACCCAACUUCCCGGGGGACCUCACUGCCUUUAGCCCACGAGCCUGCCGUAACCCACUCCGAAAGAAGGAUCCUGACUUCAAGGUAAAGAUUAUGACCUGUUCCUUGUUACUGGUUUAAAGGACACUCCAUUCCAUCAUCACCGUUCAAAAUAAAGACCUUAUACUUACCGGACUCUUCCUACGAAGUUCCUUUCAGCUCUCCAACACAAGUACACAAAGAUUUUUCAAUGUAGUCAUUUACUUUAAGCUCUUGUUUUCUGCCCUGAGGGUCAUUCCACUUGGCAUUUAUAGUGUAUGGCGAGAAUCAGGUGCUAUAGCUACUUCAAUCCACUCCCACAGGAGAGGGGACCAUGCUCUCACAAAUGGGAACUUUCACCGAUUAAAAAAAAUCUACCUCCAGGUGCAUUUUCUAAGAAAAUAUUUUCCCCAGUGUGACUUUGAAGGCCAUCAAGAUUCCCCGCUUCCAGCUCUGUCACUGGGACAUCGACCAAAGAAACCCAGCUUUGAAAGUUACAAUGAUUUGCAAUUGAAACUAAUGAGGAAGAACACAGAUUUCUUAUUUCAACAACAAAAACAAAGCAAAGCAAAGCAGAAGAGUAGCCCAGAGUGAACAAAAUCAAAUCAAAACAAAACAACAACAACAACAACAACAACAACACAUUUUCACUUUAUAUUUUUCCUACUAACUUAAGUUUGGGGAGAAUUACCUAAAUUUUUUAAAAUCAGAUUCUUAGUAUCAACUGAAAAGCCAUUUGUAACUAAUAAGUUCCAUGCAAGGGAAAAACUAGUCUUCAACAAUCUGCAUAUCAUUUGUAAAUAUUUUUUACAAUCUCAUCAAGCAUUUAGGUUAAAACAAUUAAGAACUUUC